GACGAACGCUGGCGGCGUGCUUAACACAUGCAAGUCGAACGGAAAGGCCUGCUUUCCCUUGUGGAUUGCGGGUACUCGAGUGGCGAACGGGUGAGUAACACGUGAGUGAUCUGCCCCCAACUUGGGUAUAAGCCUGGGAAACUGGGUCUAAUUCCCGAUAGGACUGCAGGGUGGUGCCUGUGGUGGAAAACGAUUUUCUAGUGGUUGGGGAUGAGCUCGCGGCCUAUCAGCUUGUUGGUGGGGUAAUGGCCUACCAAGGCGGCGACGGGUAGCCGGCCUGGGAGGGUGGACGGCCACAUUGGGACUGAGAUCCGGCCCAGACUCCGACGGGAGGCAGCAGUGGGGAAUAUUGCGCAAUGGGCGGAAGCCUGAUGCAGCGACGCCGCGUGGGGGAUGACGGCCUUCGGGUUGUAAACUCCUUUCGACCGCGAGGAAGCCACCUGGUUGGAAGGGUGGUGACGGUAGUGGUAGAAGAAGCACCGGCUAACUACGUG
rnacentral:rRNA from 1 species